GAGUGAUCAGAGAUCGAGGGUGGAGCAUUCUCUCUAAACUGACCGUGAUGGUCCAUACUGAGGGUCAAUUUGCUUGGAUUGAAGGAUGCAAAGUAUCGUUCCUGGGUGUGGCUGUGAGGGUGCGGCCACAGGACAUCAGCAUUUGAGUCAGUGGACUGGGAGAGGCAGACCCACCCUCAGUCUGCGUGGGCUCCAUCUAAUCAGCUGCCAGCUGGGCUAGAAGAAGGUGUAAUGAAGAGGAAGUGGAAUGGGCAGACUUGCUGGGUCUUCCAGCCUCCAUUUUUCUCCCGUGCUGGAUGCUUCCUGCCCUGGAACAUCAGACUCCAAGUUCCUCAGCUUUUGGACUAUUGGACCCACACCAGCAAGAAGGCCCUUGGCAGAUGCUGUCAUCGUGAUACAGGACUUCCCCGCCUCCAGAACGAGGCAGCGAACGCAGCUGUGAGAUCUCGAGGGUAAACAGCCCAUACUCUACAGUGCACUGUGUUGUCAGGUGAGUAUGCCCUACUGCAGGCUAGUGUAAGACUUCUGCGCAUGUUU
rnacentral:lncRNA from 13 species